rnacentral:misc_RNA from 1 species
UCAAACUUGGUCAUUUAGAGGAAGUAAAAGUCGUAACAAGGUUUCCGUAGGUGAACCUGCGGAAGGAUCAUUACCGAGUACCGGGUCUCUUGAGGCCCUACUCCCCACCCUUUUGUGUACCUACCUAUUUAUUCGUUGCCUUGGCGGGUCAGAUCUGCCUGAGAUUUUCACUCUCAGGCGGUCACCGCCAGGGGAACACCCCUUAAACUCUUGUUAAAUAGGGAUUGUCUGAGAAACAAAGAAAUAAAUUAAAACUUUCAACAACGGAUCUCUUGGUUCUGGCAUCGAUGAAGAACGCAGC